GCUAAGAAAAGUGGAGUUUUUGGGUAUCGUUUUCUAACAUUUGGAAGAAAGAACAACAAUAUUGAUUUAUCCUAUUCAGUAGUUGUUUAUUUAAUUUAUAUGAUUGGACAUUCCAGAAGCAUCGAAACAGCUUUAUCACUGUGGAAGACUUCGAUUUUCUGUACAGACAUGGUAUAAAUGCUGUGAGAAUUCCUGUUGGCUGGUGGAUAGCUUUUGAUCCUAAUCCUCCGGCUCCUUUCAUUGGUGGUUGUUUGGAAGCUCUUGAUAAUGCAUUCACAUGGGCACAAGCCUACAGCAUAAAGUGUAUAAUUGACCUUCAUGCGGCUUUGGGCUCCCAAAAUGGGAUGGAACACAGUGCUAGUAGAGAUGGCUCAACAGGCUGGCCUACAUCUCCAGAUUACAUCU